GAUGAACGCUGGCGGCGUGCCUAAUACAUGCAAGUCGAGCGAACAGACGAGGAGCUUGCUCCUCUGACGUUAGCGGCGGACGGGUGAGUAACACGUGGAUAACCUACCUAUAAGACUGGGAUAACUUCGGGAAACCGGAGCUAAUACCGGAUAAUAUAUUGAACCGCAUGGUUCAAUAGUGAAAGACGGUUUUGCUGUCACUUAUAGAUGGAUCCGCGCCGCAUUAGCUAGUUGGUAAGGUAACGGCUUACCAAGGCAACGAUGCGUAGCCGACCUGAGAGGGGGGUCGGCCACAGUGGACCUGAAACAGGGCCCAGACUCCUAGGGGAGGCAGAAGUGGGGAAUCUUCCGAAAGGGGCGAAAGUUGGACGGCGCAACGCCGCGUGAGUAAUAAAGGUCUUCGGAUCGAAAAACUGUUUUAUUGGGAAAAAACAAAUGUGUAAGUAACUAUGCACGUCUUGACGGUACCUAAUAAGAAAGCCACGGCUAACUACGUG
rnacentral:rRNA from 1 species